GCUGUAGCUCAGCAAUAGAGCAUCUGCUUUGGAUGCAGAAGGUGCCAGGUUCAAUUCCUGGCAUCUCCA